UACGAGGGGUGCAAGCGUUGCUCGGAAUUAUUGGGCGUAAAGGGUAGGUAGGUGGUCUCAUUUGUCUGGGGUGAAAGCCUUGAGCUUAACUCAAGAAGUGCCCCAGAAACGGUGAGACUGGAGUCUUGGAGAGGGUCGUGGAAUUCCCGGUGUAGCGGUGAAAUGCGUAGAGAUCGGGAGGAACACCAGAGGCGAAGGCGGCGACCUGGACAGGUACUGACACUCAACUACGAAAGCGUGGGGAGCAAACAGG
rnacentral:rRNA from 1 species